rnacentral:rRNA from 1 species
CAGCCGCCGCGGUAAUACGUGGGGUGCGAGCGUUAAUCGGAAUUACUGGGCGUAAAGCGUGCGCAGGCGGUUGUGUAAGACAGGUGUGAAAUCCCCGGGCUUAACCUGGGAACUGCGCUUGUGACUGCACAGCUAGAGUAUGGCAGAGGGGGGUGGAAUUCCACGUGUAGCAGUGAAAUGCGUAGAGAUGUGGAGGAACACCGAUGGCGAAGGCAGCCCCCUGGGCCAAUACUGACGCUCAUGCACGAAAGCGUGGGGAGCAAAUGGGAUUAGAUACCCCUGUAGUCCCUGUCUCUUAUAC